CCUUUAGUCAUUUUAUUCUUUAUUACUGUUGCGAUUAAUAAAAACAUUUUACAGAUCAGAUGGUUAGAUUAGUCUAAUCUAAGAAAUUUUAAGUGGGUUUCUACCAGUGAUAAAAUUAUGAAGGGUGAACGCUUCAGAUUAUCAUAAGCGUAUGCCAAAUGGACGGUAGAUAACAACAAAAGCACGGUAACUUGAUGCCUUUAUUGCCUCUGCAUACUUCUCUGCAGGCAUUAUUAACUGACUGGAAGGCAAAAGAAGAAACGAGAAUGAGGACAACGAUCAAGUGAAAGAAAAAAGAAGAAGCCAGGAAGAGGACGAAAGAGGACGAAAGAUCAUAUCAUCUCCCGUCUCUUUGCCUCUCACACGUAAGUACAGAGCCAUCCGUUCACAAGUCACCGCCACUACGGCCUUUCCUAAAAUGGCAAAAGACCGCGCGCGCGCGCAUCUCCCAUUCUUCUUCUUUCUGUACAGAGAUCUGACUCGUUUCUUUGGUCUCCUUCGUCGGUCAGUUAUUUCACUCUGAUGUUAGAUAUUAAGGAGAGAGAGAUUUUCUCUUGCCAGAAAAAGAAAAAGGAAAAAAGA